rnacentral:rRNA from 1 species
AAUGAACGUUGGCGGCAUGGAUUAGGCAUGCAAGUCGAGCGAGAAGGGUUUUGAAGCUUGCUUUAGAACCCGGAAAGCGGCGAAAGGGAGAGUAACGAGUAGUUAUCUACCCCAAGGCCCGGAAUAGCUGCGGGAAACUGCAGGUAAUGCCGGAUAAUAUCCCCGGAUCAAAGGUGUGAUUCCGCCUUGGGAGGAGACUGCUUUGUACUAGCUUGUUGGUAGGGUAAUGGCCUACCAAGGCUACGAUGCAUAGCGGGCGUGAGAGCGUGGCCCGUCUCACUGGGACUGAAACACUGCCCAGACACCUACGGGUGGCUGCAGUCGAGAAUCUUCGGCAAUGGGCGAAAGCCUGACCGAGCGAUGCCGCGUGCGGGAUGAAGGCCCUCGGGUUGUAAACCGCUGUCGUAGAGGAGAAAGGUCUCGUGAAGAGCGAGAUUUGAUCUAUUCUAGGAGGAAGUCGGGGCUAAGUUCGUGCCAGCCGCCGCCGUAACAC